CAAUGUCAUCGUAACUUAACGACAUAAAUAAGUAUUAAUGUUCUUUGCGACACUCGAUAUAGGCGUGAAAUUUAUUUAUCCUUCAUCAUUCUUGCUUCUACUAAGUUCUAAUACGUUCUCGUUAUUAUCAGCUGACUGAAAUGUCAAAUAUGUAAAAUCGAUAAAGAGAGGAGCAAAGAUUACGUCGUGACAUCGUGAAGACUGCGGAUGCGAUAGCGAAGAAAAAUGCGCGGGCAAAAUAAGCAACUUUAUGAUACACGUGAGGUUGGAGAAAGUCUCGCAUGUGCAGAAACUGCAUGCUCGUAUGCAUCUUCGCAGUCAUCGAAUAUUGCGUUAUUUCACGUAAUGCCAUAGCCGUAGACACGACACGAUGCUGCAUCAGCUUUCGGACAGCAUCAUCGCCAUCGGCGCGGAAGAGAUAAUAUUAUCGUGAUACAUAAUAUAAAUAUCAAGAAACGAUUAUAUUCUCUUUUCAUCGACGUAACGCCCUUCGUAAAACACGCGGGACAAAUUUGCAUUUCAUGAGCUGCACUUCCGUGACGAGCCUCGUGCCAUGCAGACACAUGAAGAGAAGCCGGGGGUACUUCCGGUGUAUACACACGCGAUUAAGUUCUCAAUGAAGUCUAUACAAUAAAACAAAAAAAAAAAGAAAGAAAAAGAAAAAAAAACGUAUGUGACGAGUGGACGACACCGGAGAAUACAUGUAUGAUGCAACAUAUGUCAUCUACUCUGAGCAUACCAUGCUCUAUUCGUUUUGACUAAAAUUUAAAACUUCCUGUAAAAUAAACGGCAUCUCCUUAGGAAUCUUCUCGAUGAUAA